AAAAUACUCCCCUGUCCGGAAAUACUUGUCGGAGAAAUGGAUAAAAGUUUACGUAUUUUGAACUAAAAUACGUCUAGAUACAUGCAUUUCUCCGACAAGUAUUUUCAGACGGAGGGAGUACUUA
rfam:Triticum aestivum genome assembly, contig: Triticum_aestivum_CS42_TGACv1_scaffold_374563_5AL